AUUCAGGUGACUCAACGGGAUUCGAACCCGUUAGAGCACUGCACCGGCAUCGCAGAGGUCAUGGGUUCGAAUCCCGUUGAGUCACCUGAAUU
rnacentral:tRNA from 1 species